CCAGAUUUCUUUUUACAUCACUUUCUGAGGCAGUAACUCUGCUUUUCACAGCUAGGAUUGAGAAAUGAAGAGAGGCAUGAAAUACAGUAAAUAAAGUUGUACUUUAUAAUUUACUCUUCAUCCUACAAACAUUUAUGACAAACUUAAAACACGGGAGCUUAUCUCUUAGUGAAAACUAAUUAUUUCAACAGGAAUUGAAGAGAUUAAUCGCAUGCUUCAAGUGGUUUGUCAGAUAAGGGCCAUAAUACAACAGGUAAUCCACAUACAAACAUUUCCAGUGUGUUAGCGUCCAAUGUUUUUAAUACAUAUUUUAAUGAAGGGGAAUAUUUCUGUUGACUGCUUCUUUGUGCUCAAGUAAGAACAUAUAACUUCGUUCUGUAUCCUCUAUCACAGCUGACACAAGGACAUGCUCCUGGAACACGCUGAGUCACAAUUCUGUGUUGUCUUCCAAUUUCCAUUUAUGUUCUAAUUUACUAGAUCAAAUGCAUAGUAAGGAUUCUAGGAAUCACAUUUAAACACCGAAGAAUCUUUGUCAGUCACACUUUAGUAUUUCACAUCUCUAACCACAACACUCCCAAUUUAACUAUUUUCCAGCAUUAAAAAUCUUGCUGCCUAAGUAGCUGUUUGCUUCAGCUUCUUCGCCUACAUAAGAAGGCAAACAAAACUUCCAAGCUCAACGAAGAACCAAAACAAAAUUCUGCUACUAGAUGUAACUUACUUAUUCCCCCCCCCAUAGUGCGUUUUCUGUCUGUUUGGUUUCUUUUUUAAUAAUUAUUUAGUCCUAUUGAAGGAAUAUUUCCUUUGGCACCUAACUGUCCGCAAAAAAAAAAAUGCUCUAUUGCUUCAUAAACUCUGUCACAAUGAACAUAAUCCUUUAGUUAAGUGCCAAUUAAUUAUUAAAAACAUUCAUUGAGGAUUAACAAUCAUGAAAUAGAUACAGCUCUAUUAUGUAGUUGUUAAUCCUCAAUAAAUCUACUUGUAAUAGACAGCAUUUUAGUACGAGAGCUAGCCUACUUAAUCUAAUGCUUUAUAUUUAAUUAGAUAAUUAUUGCAUGUUAAAAAAUACAUUCAUUAUGUUUAAUAACUAUGUAAUAAGCAUACAUCUAAUGGACAGAUUAGUAAUCCUCAGAAAAGGACUUCUUUUUUUUCAGUAAUCACUUGUAUUAGCAUCCAAGAGCGACUCUCCAACACAAAGGCCAGAACGUUAUGCUCCCCUACCUGCAGAAAUGCAGGCUAAAGAAGGGCUUACACUCCCUGAACCACUCUCUUUGGCCCCUUGGAGAAGAUGUGGGAGCCUGAAGAAGCUUAAUUGCCUUCAACACUCAUACUCCCUUGAAGCACCCAAGAUUACACCCAUACAGAAAGGAGCUCAGCAUUCCUAACAUCAACUGCAUGACAUUGCCAAAUAGCAGUCUUCUUUUCAAGACAGAAGAUUUGGACUGGAAGGUGUAAGGGCAUGCCACAUGAUACAUACAUCCCUCUGAGAACAAAGAACUCACUGGAACUGCCUGUUCCCAUGGAAUAAUGCUGAAUACACAUCAAGCUGUACAGAGAUGCUCUUCUUACAAUUUUAUUUCCUAUAUAUCCUUUCAGCACCUCUUUCAAAAAAUGGUUAUAGGGAGACAUGUAUCUCCUAUUCAUCUAAUAACCAUCUCCAGUCAGCCACCAGACAAAGACAGAUAGUCAUGAUGCCUGUUUCUAGGGAUAAAACUAUAAGAGCUAUUUAUAGCACAAGGAUCAAGCUCUGAGUGGCCUUUUUAGGAAGUAAACUUAAUAACACGAUCACUAAUCUUUCAGCUGAAGCUGUCUCAUGAAACAGAAAGAGUAUCAACUCACAUUCUGCACCUCUGGAAAUCUCUCGUUCCAGCUGGUGGUCAGCAGUGUUAUGUAACAAAGGUGACUUGAGAGAUAGUGGUUCAUACGACCAUUAAAAAUCUCCAUCGUCCAUCUUCUGUCUCGUCUUUUUCCCCUGCACUUCAAUAAUGAGCUGAUUUUAGCGACUGCUCUCUUUGAAGAAGUGUUAGCUCUUGAACCAAUGCCAGUGCAUUGCAUCUCAAGAACAGUAGACCUUGU
ensembl:lncRNA